UGCGCAGGCGGCUUGUCAAGUCAUGUGUGAAAUACCCAGGCUUAACUUGGGGGGUGCAUAUGAAACUGGCGAGCUUGAGUGCAGGAGAGGGGAGCGGAAUUCCUAGUGUAGCGGCGAAAUGCGUAGAUAUUAGGAGGAACACCAGUGGCGAAGGCGGCUCUCUGGACUGCAACUGACGCUGAGGCACGAAAGCGUGGGGAGCAAACAGGAUUAGAUACCCUGGUAGUCCACGCGGUAAACGAUGGAUACUAGGUGUAGGGGGUGUAUGCCCUCUGUGCCGGAGCAAACGCAAUAAGUAUCCCGCCUGGGGAGUACGGCCGCAAGGUUGAA
rnacentral:rRNA from 1 species